UUGUAUAACAGUUACUUUAGGUGGCCCGGUUGUUUGCACAAAUAAACAAAUAAUAAAAAGCGGCUGUAUGAGAUACAGCGGCUGUAUUAUAAGCGUACCCAUAAAAAAUACACUUGUCUUUUUCAACUGAAAAGAAUAACGCCAUUAUCAAAGCUUCAAGGUUCCUUGGAUCUUGAGGCUAGCAUCAUAUUGUCCAUAAUAUAACCUGAGCAUCAGACCACAACUGGCUCUACCUUUGAGCUCAACUUGUUCCAUUUUACACGUUUGAAAUGGCUUAAGAGCUUGCGGGUUUCAUCUGCAUUUUUGUCCAGUUUCCACUGUCGUUUAACAUCCUAACUCGCUUAGCCAUCCUCCUUCCCCUUGCAAGAGUAUACCUUAAGCUUAGUGAGGUAGCUUCACUGCCUUUUAAACAAAUUUAUUUGUCUUAAUCGAAUCCACCAAAACUCAGUUCAAACAUGAGGGAUCUUGUAUUAGAAAUUUAAUUUGUAGUUUGGUCUUUGUUUAUUUUGGUUUGGAUAUGUAAUUGAUUUCUUCUCACAUUAAAUUAUCAUAUAAUUAUGAAAUCCCAUAUAUAUUUU
rnacentral:lncRNA from 1 species